CCUACGGGUGGCAGCAGUGGGGAAUAUUGCUCAAUGGAGGCAAGUCUGAUCCAGCGAUGCCGCGUGCGUGAAGAAGGCUCUCGGUAUUUUAAGCUCCUUUUGCAGGGAAGUAAACGCCGAUACCUGUCUAAGACGCCACGGCUCACUACGUGCCAGCAGCCGCGGUAAUACGCAGGGUGCAAGCGUUAUCCGGAUUAACUGGGUGUAAAGGGGGCGUAGGCGGCAGGACAAGUCAGAAGUGAAAUCGCUUGGCUUAACCUUGGAACUGCCUCUGAUACUGUGCAGCUGGAGAGCAGUAGAGGUAGGCGGAAUGCAUGGUGUAGCGGUGAAAUGCUUAGAGAUCAGACAGAACACCGAUUGCGAAGGCAGCUUACUAGGCU
rnacentral:rRNA from 1 species